rnacentral:rRNA from 1 species
UACAGAGGUCCCAAGCGUUGUUCGGAUUCACUGGGCGUAAAGGGUGCGUAGGCGGCCGGGUAAGUCUGUCGUGAAAUCUCCGAGCCCAACUCGGAAACUGCGUCGGAUACUAUUCGGCUAGAGGAAUGGAGGGGAGACUGGAAUUCUCGGUGUAGCAGUGAAAUGCGUAGAUAUCGAGAGGAACACCAGUGGCGAAGGCGGGUCUCUGGACAGUUCCUGACACUGAGGCACGAAGGCCAGGGGAGCAAACGGG